rnacentral:rRNA from 1 species
GACAGAGGUCCCGAGCGUUAGGCGGAAUCACUGGGCUUAAAGCGUGUGUAGGCGGAGCGUUAAGUGCUUUGUGAAAUCCCACGGCUCACCCGUGGAACUGCGCUUCAUACUGCAUGGCUUGAGGGAGACAGGGGUAAGCGGAACUGAUGGUGGAGCGGUGAAAUGCGUUGAUAUCAUCAGGAACACCGGUGGCGAAAGCGGCUUACUGGGUCUCUUCUGACGCUGAGGUACGAAAGCUAGGGGAGCGAACGGG